rnacentral:rRNA from 1 species
GACGUAGGGCGCGAGCGUUGUCCGGAUUUAUUGGGCGUAAAGAGCUCGUAGGCGGCUUGUCGCGUCGAAUGUGAAAACCCACGGCUCAACUGUGGGCUUGCAUUCGAUACGGGCAGGCUAGAGUUCGGUAGGGGAGACUGGAAUUACCAGUGUAGCGGUGAAAUGCGUAGAUAUUGGUAGGAACACCAGUGGCGAAGGCGGUCUUCUGGAGCACUCUUGACGCUGAGGCGCGAAAGCUGGGGGGAGCGAACGGG